AGAGUUACAGUAACUUUUUAUAGAAUAAACAUUGCUCACAAGCCAGUGGGUUUGGUCAUAGCACUGGCCUCCCCCCUUGACUCUGAGGCCUGCCCUUGAUACCGUAGCUGAUAUUCCUGAGUCUCAGGGUCUCCAUCUCUCUAUGAGGGCUCUAGUUCCAACUCUGAGUGGUUGUUAGGGUUAUGAGACAUUGGUGGAGGUGCUUUUAAGAGACCAUCAUGUUUGGUCUAACCCUUUUGUUUUGCAGGUGCUGAUUCCUUCCACUCAUUGAGAGGGGAAGGAGCUCAUCUGAGAUCUCAUGGCAAUCUCAUGUCAGCCCCAGGACCACCAGAACAGAAGUCACACCCCUCUCACUGGUGACCCAACUCAAGGUCCAUCCAUGGUGCUGCAAAUGGCAUUUUCUUGCCCUCAAGGGUGCUUCUUCACAUUUACUCCAGCCCCAGGAAACCAACAUUCCACUUUCUGCUUCUAUGAGUUCUAUUUUAGAUUCAUCCUAUAAACAAUAUCAUGCAGUACUUGUCCUUAUGGAAAACGGUGUGGAGUUUCCUCAAAAAACUACCAUACGAUCCAGCAAUAUAACUUAGAACUACCAUGUGAUCCAGCAAUCCCACUUCUGGGUAAAUAUACAAAGGAAUUAAAAUCAGGAUCUCAAUGAGAUACCUGCAUUCCCACAUUUAUUGCAGCAUUAUUCACAAUUCCAAGACAUGGAAGCAACCUAAAAGUCCACCCAGAGAUGAAUGGAUAAAGACAAUGUGGUGUAUACAUACAAUGGGGUAUUACUCAGCCUUAAAAAGAAGGACAUCCUGCCAUUUGCAACAACAUGGAUGAACCUGGAGGACAUUUUGCUAAAUGAAGUAAGUCUCCAUCACCUUGGACCUGAGAUGGUGCAAACACCCUGAGUUCAAAGAGUGGUUUCCUCUUCCUGUUUCCUCUGACUGUCUCCACGCGGUUUUGUUCUUUGUGACUCACUUAACCAUUGUAACUGGCUGCAACCUGAUUAACUCAUCCACUCAUUUGUUUGGCAAAGACUUACUCUACAUCUCAUAAAUACCAGCUACUGAACUAGUGGCAGAGGAUGCAGAGAUGAGCUUGAUUUGACCCUUGGCCUCAAGGAAUCAUAGACAAGUUGAGAAAGCAGACUUACAAACACAAUAUUAUAGUAGGUCAAGGCAUCAUUUGAGUUCACAAAGCAGGGGAACCUAACCUAUCCUAAGGGGUAAAAGAGAAAGCUCCCUAAUGAUGUGUUGGGCAGAGUAGGAAGGAUGAUGAGGACUUAGCUGGCUUAUUGUUAUGAUUAUUAGUAUUACCGUCAACACCAUUAUCAUCAUUUUAAAGGCAGAGGAAAGGCAUCUCUGUCCAAGGAAACAGUAACUGAAAAGGCAUGAGCUCGAGCAAGAGGAUGAACAAUUUUA